CUUGCUAGAAGUGGAUUAGUGGCGCACGGGUGAGUAAUACAUAGAUAACAUACCCUUUAGUCUGGAAUAGCCACUGGAAACGGUGAUUAAUACUGGAUACUCCCUACGGGGGAAAGUUUUUCGCUAAAGGAUUGGUCUAUGUCCUAUCAGCUUGUUGGUGAGGUAAUGGCUCACCAAGGCUAUGACGGGUAUCCGACCUGAGAGGGUGAACGGACACACUGGAACUGAGACACGGUCCAGACUCCUACGGGAGGCAGCAGUAGGGAAUAUUGCUCAAUGGGGGAAACCCUGAAGCAGCAACGCCGCGUGGAGGAUGAAGGUUUUAGGAUUGUAAACUCCUUUUGUUAGAGAAGAUU
rnacentral:rRNA from 1 species